AGCUCAAAGGGAAAUCAGAUCUCUGUGGGCAAGGAUUGCGCUAUGUGCUAUUGCUGCCUGCUCCUUGGAGUACAUCUAUUACUGCAGCUGGGCUGAGCAGUAUAUAUAAGACAAUUCUCCGCCGGCUGUCAGAAACCAUUGCAAGAGGAGAGAUGGGGCUGCCUAAAAUCCUGAAUGCCAUCCAAGGUUUGCAGACUGCCCCCUGUGGACUGUAUGGCCUCAGUUGAGAACACCUAUUCUAUUUGGAUUGCUGGAAUUGCACACACAGUUCAAUGGAUGCACUACAGACUUUUGCAGUGGCGAUAUGGCUCUUGCUGUCCUCCAGGACCCUUUCUCAAAUAAUCACAGACUUACUUUGGGCCUCUUCACACAUUACCACAGUGGCAUGGGGACCAAUUUCCGGUGGCUUUUCCUAAUGCUGCUUUGGUAGCAUUGUAUUAAGAUCUACCUCAGAGGCCCUUCUGUGGAUCACACUGCCAUCAGACCUGGGAUAAGUGGUGACAGGAGACAGGGCCUUCUCUGUAGUGGCAACCCUGACUUUGGAAAUCUCUCCCUAGAGAUGUUCACAUCUGAGUUUGUUAUCUUUUCAACACCAGAUGAAACCCUUUACAUUCCUCCCUGCCAGCCUUUUAAAUCUUUGUUUU